GAAGGGUGCAAGCGUUACUCGGAAUUACUGGGCGUAAAGCGUGCGUAGGUGGUGCGUUAAGUCUGUCGUGAAAGCCCCGGGCUCAACCUGGGAAUGGCGAUGGAUACUGGCGCGCUAGAGUGCGGUAGAGGAGAGUGGAAUUCCCGGUGUAGCAGUGAAAUGCGUAGAGAUCGGGAGGAACAUCAGUUGCGAAGGCGGCUCUCUGGACCAGCACUGACACUGAGGCACGAAAGCGUGGGGAGCAAACAGGAUUAGAUACCCUGGUAGUCCACGCCCUAAACGAUGCGAACUGGACGUUGGGAGCAACUAGGCUCUCAGUGUCGAAGCUAACGCGUUAAGUUCGCCGCCUGGGGAGUACGGUCGCAAGACUG
rnacentral:rRNA from 1 species